CAAAAACAUUUCCUUUUGAUGUUAUAUUUUAGGUAAGGCCUGCUCAAUGAUUUAAUUAAAUAGCCGCGAUAUUUUAUCGUGCAAAGGUAGCAUAAUAAUUUGUCUCUUAAUUGGAGUCUAGGAUGAAUGGUUUAACGAAAAAUAAACUUUUUUAAUUAAAAUUUUUUUAAUUUAAUUUUUUAGUUAAAAAGCUAAAAUAAAAUUAUGGGACGAUAAGACCCUAUAAAAUUUUAUUUUUAUAUAUUUGUAUAAUUUUUGGUGUUUACUUUUAUUUAGAUUUUAUAAUAAAUUUAGUUGGGGCGACUGUUUAAUUUUAUUAACUUAAAUUUUUGUAUUUUCAUUAAUUAAUGAUUUUUUGAUCCUAAUUUUUAGAUUAUAAGAAUAAAUUACUUUAGGGAUAACAGCGUAAUUUUUCUGGGGAGUUCUUAUUUAUAGAAAAGUUUGCGACCUCGAUGUUGGAUUAAAGUUUAAUUUUGGUGUAGCAGCUAAAAAUAUUAAGUCUGUUCGACUUUUAAAACUUUACAUGAUCUGA
rnacentral:rRNA from 1 species